GGUCUACAGAGUUCCAGGACAGCCUGGGCUACACAGAGAAACCCUGUCUCGAAAAACCAAAAGAAAAAGAAAAAGAAAUUCUUUGGGAAAGCUCAAUGAUCUAUAACCCCCAACAAUGACCAUCCAAGUAGCCAGUGAUCAUCAACAUGCAAAGUUUUUUGGCAAAGAAACUUAGGCGUGGAAAUGUUAGGGAACUGGUCCAAGGUACUAAAAGCUGUAAACGGAAAGAUUAGAAGAAACGUAGCUCAGCUUUCCCUUGAACCAUUCAAUAGCUACUUGAAUGUUUUCAAAUAAGAACCUUCGUAAACACUUUUUCUCAUAGGCAAGUUCUUUUCAAAGGCAAACUCAAGCCAAAUACACAUCCCUUGUCGUCUUCUCUCCCGGGAGUGGUAAUUUCUUUGGCUAUAUCACUUUUACUUCCAGAACUUUUUUUUUUUUAAGAAACUGUUGUUUCUGAACAAAAAGGAAGAAACUUUCUCUUGACAAUUCUAAGGUAACGAUGCACCCGAAUUCACGUCUCCGUAGUGUGAAGCUUCGGGAAAGCGCUCGUGUUUCACUUUUUCAGAAAAACGGCUUUCAGCUGAGUCUUCUACUGCGUAGACUGCAGAUCAGCAGCACGCUCCGAAACGCCCAUGGCGACCCACCCCGAGCAUUAUUUAUUUUCUGCUCGUUUGUACGGUUUAGAGAGAACAAACCACCGUUGGCUUUUCUGAGGAAGUUCCAGCACUUAACUAAGACCCAGCCGAGGAAAGGUCACACCCCCCACUUUGAAAGUUUCUACUUGCUCCGCUGCAGCAUCCUUGUAAGAUCCGACUUACCAAAGGAAAAAGAGCGCGCGUGAGACCCAGCAGCGCGGCGCACUCUGGGAAAGGGGUCACAGGUCCCGCCCCCGUGAGGUCAGCAUCUGCUUUACCCGGGAGCCCCAACCUCCUCGGCGACCCUCAGCCUCAGGGCUCCGCCUACUUUGGGUUCCACCCACUUCAGGUUCCUCUCGCCUUAAACCUCUGAUGGUUCCAGGCUACACCUACCUCAUGCUCCUCCUCCUAGGCCCGCCCUCCUCGGAACUUUGGAAGCCCCGGCCUCCACCCACCUUAGUUUUCUGACGACUCCAGGCUCCACCCACCUUAGGCUCCUCCUUCUAGCCCCGCCCACCUCAGUACUUUGGAUGCCCCGGGUUCCACCCACCUCAGGCUCUGCCCCCUAGACUUGCUGGCCUCAGCCUGGGGCAUCCCUAGGCUUCACCUACUUGAGGCUCCGUCUCCACUGCCGGCUGGCUGGGCCUGGCAGCUUUGGCAGCGGCGAGGUAUGCGGUCUUAGGACAGGCUGAUGGCUUGGAUCUCUCUGUUUCCACUUCAGGAGUACUUCAAUUACAGCUGUGUGCCACCAUGCCAGAUAAGAGCUACUAUCCUAUAAACAGGUGCCUGAAAAGACAGCUACAAACCCCACAGAAAGAUGGAGGAAAGGGAAACAUUCAUAGAAACACCAGAAAUGAUGACCUUGAACUCACUCCUGAACGUUAACUCCAAACUCGUCGGAGAAUUUUCCAGUUAAUCAUAACUCAGAAGUAGCAGCUUGAUUGAAACAAACAAACAAACAGAAACAAACAGAAACAAACCAAAAAUCAAGGUACAUAGGACCAGAGAGAGCAUGCUCAUCAGGCACCAGUGAAAUACCAAUAUUGUGGUGCUAGAAAGCACACAGCAAGCACAGUCAGAAAU